CAACUCUGGUUUCUCUUCAGAUCAAACAAAUCUUUCCCCUUUUACUAAAGAUUUCCUUGGAGAAACAAUUUUGCAUUUACACUUAAUUUUUUUAAGCCUUGCAUUUGCAGGGCU